rnacentral:hammerhead_ribozyme from 1 species
AUUCAGCCAACGAGUCCAAAAUGGGACGAAACGUAUGUCAUGGAU